ensembl:lncRNA
GAUUCAAUCCAAUACUGUAUAGACACACAUAGGUUGGGAUUCAAUCCAAUACUGUAUAGACACACAUAGGUUGGGAUUCAAUCCAAUACUGUAUAGACACACAUAGGUUGGGAUUCAAUCCAAUACUGUAUAGACACACAUAGGUUGGGAUUCAAUCCAAUACUGUAUAGACACACAUAGGCUGGGAUUCAAUCCAAUACUGUAUAGACACACACAGACUGGUAUUCAAUCCAAUACUGAAUAGACACACAGGUUGGGAUACAAUCCAAUACUGUACAGACAGACACAUAGGCUGGGAUUCAAUCCAAUACUGUAUAGACACACACAGACUGGGAUUCCAUCCAACACUGUACAGACAGACACAUAGGCUGGGAUUCAAUCCAAUACUGUAUAGACAGACAGACAGGCUGGGAUUCAAUCCAAUACUGUAUAGACAGACACACAGACUGGGAUUCAAUCCAAUACUGUAUAGACAGACACAUUGGCUGGGAUUCAAUCCAAUACUGUACAGACAGACACAUUGGCUGGGAUUCAAUCCAAUACUGUACAGACAGACACACAGGCUGGGAUUCAAUCCAAUACUGUAUAGACAGACACACAGGCUGGGAUUCAAUCCAAUACUGUAUAGACACACACAGGCUGGGAUUCGUAAGGUCGCUAGUUCAACUCCAGGAGCAGACAAGGUGAAGCAUUUGUCUGUGUGCCCUUGAGCAAGGCACUCAACCUCAAUUGCUCCAGGGAUGUCAUUGAUCAUGUCUGACCCUGUCUAAAGACCCCAGCUCUCUGUGGGUGUUGAUAAUGUCUGACCCUGUCUAAAGACCCCAGCUCUCUGUGGGUGUUGAUAAUGUCUGACCCUGUCUAAAGACCCCAGCUCUCUGUGGGUGUUGAUAAUGUCUGACCCUGUCUAAAGACCCCAGCUCUCUGUGGGUGUUGAUAAUGUCUGACCCUGUCUAAAGACUCCAGCUCUCUGUGGGUGUUGAUAAUGUCUGACCCUGUCUAAAGACCCCAGCUCUCUGUGGGUGUUGAUAAUGUCUGACCCUGUCUAAAGACCCCAGCUCUCUGUGGGUGUUGAUAAUGUCUGACCCUGUCUAAAGACCCCAGCUCUCUGUGGGUGUUGAUAAUGUC